UGGGCAACCUGCCCUCAGCUCUGGGAUAACUCCAAGAAAUUGGGGCUAAUACCGGAUAUGACCGCUGACCGCAUGGUCUGGUGGUGGAAAGAUUUGUCGGCUGGGGAUGGGCCCGCGGCCUAUCAGCUUGUUGGUGGGGUAGUGGCCUACCAAGGCGUCGACGGGUAGCCGGCCUGAGAGGGUGACCGGCCACACUGGGACUGAGACNCGGCCCAGACUCCUACGGGA
rnacentral:rRNA from 1 species